rnacentral:sRNA from 1 species
AUUGUCGACUCGAAUUUACUCGGGAGUUUUUGACAACAACAUUUGCAGCGAACAUCAGUAUUCUAGCUACUAUCCACAUGAAAAGUGUGGUUUGGACAGCAGCGAGCUCCAGCAGGGAUGAUGACCUCUUUAGUGAUGAAGAUGUGAUGUCUUACACCUACUGGAACUACAACCAGCUUUGGACCUUGGCGCUUGCACAUGCAGCAUAAAGCAUGUCCUCUAGAUGUGCUGGGAAAUGGGAGAGGAAUGGAUGGAGGACUGAAUGGAGGAGCUUCAGUGGAUUGUGCUGGAACCUGCUGUACCCUGCUGGGCAUACUGGUUUUCCUUUUGAUGUGAUGCUGGCACAUACAUCUGCAUUUAUUACAGAGAAAGUCACUGUUUGAUGGAGUCCUUCCUGUUAAUUUGGCAAUAAAAGCUCUAUUUCUAGACG